GCUGCAGUAGCUCAGUUGGUAGAGCACUUCCUUGGUAAGGAAGAGGUCACGGGUUCAAUUCCCGUCUGCAGCUCCA
rnacentral:tRNA from 1 species